rnacentral:rRNA from 1 species
UACGUAGGGUGCAAGCGUUGUCCGGAAUUAUUUGGGCGUAAAGAGCUCGUAGGCGGUUCGUCGCGUCGGCUGUGAAAUCCCGAGGCUCAACCUCGGGUCUGCAGUCGAUACGGGCGGACUGGAGUUCGGCAGGGGAGACUGGAAUUCCUGGUGUAGCGGUGAAAAUGCGCAGAUAUCAGGAGGAACACCGGUGGCGAAGGCGGGUCUCUGGGCCGAUACUGACGUGAGGAGCGAAAAGCGUGGGGGAGC